AGAAGUUGGGCGGGGCUCGCGGAGUAUUGGCUUUGGACAAGGGCUUCCCAGUGCCAGGGAAUUCAUGUUGACUCUUUCAGUCCUGGAAAUGGAUGUUAUUGCUUAUCCCAGCUUCACAGAUGUGGAAACCGAAGGGCAGAAUGAUUAGGCUGGCGUUCCGAUGGGCCUAGCGGUCGAGAGCAGAGGCUUUAUGGACGGCCGGAUCUGAAGACAAGUCCUGGGUCUGCUACUGACGGUGGGACACUCUGAAUAGGUCAUUUUCCCCAUCCUGAGACUUCCUUUCCUCGUCUGUAAAGUGGGAAUGAUAAUAUGUUUCAUAGGAUCGCAGUGAGUAUUAAAUGAUGCACUUAAAGAACAGCACAAUGGCUGACAUAUGGUAAGAAUUCAAUAGCUGAGUCAGAUCUUGAUUCAAAUCCAAGCACUGCCACUUUCUAGCUGUGUGGCCUUGGACAAGUGACUUAACCUCUCUGAGUCUCAGUUUACUUCCUGUAAAGUACAAGGAUUGGACUAGAUGACCUUUAAGUCCCCUCCGAGUGUGAUAAUUAAGAGCAGUUUUUUCAAACGGCUGGUUGUGACCCAUUAAUGGAGUCUUAAAAUCCACUCAGAGGAUUGUGACCAGCAUUCAAAAAAUAAAACAAUAUAAUAAAAAAAUGAAGAAUGUGUCACACAU